rnacentral:rRNA from 1 species
ACGAACGCUGGCGGCAUGCCUAAUACAUGCAAGUCGAACGAGACCUUCGGGUCUAGUGGCGCACGGGUGCGUAACGCGUGGGAAUCUGCCCUUGGGUUCGGAAUAACUUCGGGAAACUGAAGCUAAUACCGGAUGAUGACGUAAGUCCAAAGAUUUAUCGCCCAGGGAUGAGCCCGCGUAGGAUUAGCUAGUUGGUGGGGUAAAGGCCUACCAAGGCGACGAUCCUUAGCUGGUCUGAGAGGAUGAUCAGCCACACUGGGACUGAGACACGGCCCAGACUCCUACGGGAGGCAGCAGUAGGGAAUAUUGGACAAUGGGCGAAAGCCUGAUCCAGCAAUGCCGCGUGAGUGAUGAAGGCCUUAGGGUUGUAAAGCUCUUUUACCCGAGAUGAUAAUGACAGUAUCGGGAGAAUAAGCUCCGGCUAACUCCGU